GAGUCUGGUCGAUCAAGAGAGGAAGGGGGCGACAGGGGUUCUCCAAAACCCUAAGUUUCACACCAAAAUCUCUUCAAUUGAAGCCCCAAAUCAGUUCCAAAUCAAGCUCUAAUCACAUAUUAGUAAACACCUCGUUGUAAGGAUCAAAAGGCAAAGAGUCCGGUUCAUCUAGCGGACAAGCCGGAGGGAGUUCACGAGGAAAAGACGCGCUCUAAAAGGUAUGAAAUUUACUUUCUCAGGUACUCAAGUAAAGGAUGAAGGUCAAGCAAGCGAGCCGAACCGAACACACAAUCUUUUAGAACGCUUCCGCAAUUAUGACUUUUGUUUUAGAUACUAAGUAAACUAAUGGUAGUUACCGUCUUGUAUGGGAUUUUAUAACAACAAUACAUGUAUGUUGUAAUAUUUUGGGUUUAUACUAUGAAAGUUUUUGUAAAGUCGUCAUUUUGGCGUUAAAUGCAAGGUUUUUAGGUUGUUAAAUUUGGUAAUAUAAACUGGGUCUUACAC
rnacentral:lncRNA from 1 species